ensembl:lncRNA
CCCUACACUGGAAGAAAGAUGAAAUGCUGAGGUGGAGUUCUUCAGAUGGUGAAUUACAUGCUGAAAGAAUGCCCGGGCAUCCUACCUUCCUGGUAGCUACAUGAUGUCUCUGACUCCACCUACUACCUUUCACUAUCCCUGUUUGGAUUUCCUGCCUGGCUAAAUCCUGACUGCCCAUUGGCUGAAACAGCUUUAUUCAUCAACCAAUAAGAUAAACAUAUAUUCACAGCAUAUAUAAGGGCAUCCCUUAUGAUAUGUAGACAGCAGGUCCUGAAUGCCAGAUGAAGUAUGAGAAGGAAGAAAAUCAUGUCUUACUGAGGUCAUCCAGGAAAGCCUCACAGAGAAGGUGGUCCCGAAUAGAGCCCAGAAGGACUCAAAGACAAAGAGGAAGUAUGACAACUGCAUCAAUCAAAUAAGCCUUACAGAUUGGAACAUGUAUGCACUUGCAGGGAAUGAAAAGCAAAUUGCACAGACCAAAUAUGAAUGAAAACAAAGACCAAGUUCAAAUUGUGACAUUCAGGUUUGGAGAGACUAGGAGGCAACUAAUUACAAUGCCAAGCACCGAAUCCCAGGAUGAUGAGAAUGACUCCACAGACUGAUGCUAGAAGGAUUAGUCUGACAAACGUGAACCAUGGCUAAAAAUACAACAGUAGGCAACAAGAAAAUUCUACAUCCUGUGUUGUGGAGUAUUAACUAUGUAAAAAUGUGUUAUGCUUGUUUAUGCUGCAUUUGGUUAAUUAUGUAUAGAUGUAUCACUUUUGUUUUACCUUACCUGACUAAGUCACCUGAUUGGUCUAAUAAAGAGCUGAAUGGCCAACAGCUAGGCACAGAAAGGAUAAGUGGGGCUGGUGGGUAGGGAGAAUAAAGAGAAGGUGAAAUUUAGGCUUGGGAGAGAAGAAGGAAGAGAGAAACAUGGGAGGAGGAGAGGGACACGGGGCUAGAAGCCUGGCAGCUGCCAGACAGACAGACAUGAGAAGCAGUGACAGUAAGAUAUACAGAAGAAAAGAAAGGUAAAAAGCCUCGAAGCAAAAUGCAGAUGAAGAGAAACAGGUUAUAUUAUAAGAGCUAGCAAGUAAUGAACCUAAGCUAAGGUUGAGCAUUCACAACUAAUAACCAGUCUCUGUGUCAUGAUUUGGGAGCUGGUUGGUAGUCCAAAAGAAAGCCUGGUAUAGUCCUGGGGUACAGAUAAUGUGCCAAUAUUUUCCAUACAGAAACUUGUGUGAAAACAGGCUAACAUGAGAGAUGAAGGACCAAGAGCUCAUGGUAGUGGGUCCUGAACAACAGUGGUCUGAUAAAAUGGGGAAGCCACAAGAAGCACAGAUCUUGGAUGCUUCAGGAUUUUGACCAGGACUUCCAAACAUCUCCACCAUGGCCCAAGAAAUACUUUCCUAAGAACACUAUCUGUUCAUACAGCUAGGAAAAUAUUAAGAAGUAGAAUAAAUUUAUUCCUCCAAGGAUUCAGUGGGAGGUUCACAUUGUCAACCCGUCUCUAUUCAGAAUCUAAUGUACAGUCAGACACUUAGUAAGGCUCUUAAAAAUUGUUUUUGGGGAGG